AUUUCUUAUGACAAGUUUAUUCGAACAACCGAUCCAAACCAUGAAUCAAUUGUGAAGGAAUUUUACUUGAGAGUUCUUGCAAAUGGUGACAUUUACCGGGCUGAUUAUGAAGGCCUUUAUUAUAUCAAUUGUGAGGAGUAUAAGGAUGAGAAGGAAUUACUUGAAACAACUAUUACCCCUUGCACCUAAAGCCUUGCAUCCCACGAUAGGAGGACAACUUCUUCUUUGCCUUAUCGAAGUAUCAAAAAUCCUUGGAAGAGAUUCUAAGUCAAAAUCCGAAUUUUGUGCAGCCUUCUUUUCAUUUGAAUGCGGUUGUGUGGAGCAGGAAAAAUAAGAAUGAAUCAAUUUCUUUUGAGGGCAAAAUGAAUGUUUCCU